GUUGGUGUAGUGGUGUAGCACGCGUCCCCGGGUAGGAUGAAGCGGGUUCGAUUCCCGCCUGGAACC